rnacentral:rRNA from 2 species
GCAUCGCGACCCCAGGUCAGGCGG